CAGAGGUCCCAAGCGUUGUUCGGAUUCACUGGGCGUAAAGGGUGCGUAGGUGGUAGGGUAAGUCGGAUGUGAAAUCUCCGAGCUCAACUCGGAAAUGGCAUUGGAAACUACCCUGCUAGAGGGUCGAGGGGGGACUGGAAUACUUGGUGUAGCAGUGAAAUGCGUAGAUAUCAAGUGGAACACCAGUGGCGAAGGCGAGUCCCUGGACGACUCCUGACACUGAGGCACGAAAGCUAGGGGAGCAAACAGGAUUAGAUACCCUGGUAGUCCUAGCCGUAAACGGUGCAUGUUUGCUGUAAAAGGAAUCGACCCCUUUUGUGGCGUAGCCAACGCGUUAAACAUGCCGCCUGGGAAGUACGGUCGCAAGAUUA
rnacentral:rRNA from 1 species